rnacentral:lncRNA from 1 species
GCAAUGUAAUUAUAUUUAAUUACAAGUGUGCUCCUGGUGGUCUUUAACUGAAGGGCACUGACUGGGUCACUGGUGAAGUUCCCCGCAGGAACUGAGUCAGACCCCAUCUCAGGGCCCCGCACAAGAUAGGUGCCUGCACUAAGGCGUGGACCCUCGCGACAGCCCUGGCCCGUCUUGACGGGCGAGGGUUACUGUACUUGUCCCAACCGUACAGAUGAGAAAGCUGAGACUCAGGGCGAGCAACCCGGGUCCCAGCGGAGCGCCGGGCACGCGCCGACACUUCCGCACCAGUCGCGGUGGCCACCACUGUGCGCGGAGAUGGCUGCGACGCGUGCGCAGGUAAAGUCCAUCCGUGCCUUGCCUCCCACCGGCGCCUUCCACGGCCUCUGGUUUUGUCCCCGCCAGCGGCUCCGAUUCUAUCGCGUCCUCUUCCAGUCUAGUGCUUUUUUCCAGAUCUCGAUCCCAAACUCCCUCCUGCCAGAAUCUGGACCCGAAUCCACCCAUUGCCCAGUUUCCGCUGCCGCUGGAGAGAAUCUCUGAGGUCCCCAGGACAGCCUGCCUGCACGGAAGAGAUGCCUCCUCAAUUAAAUGCUGUUUUCCAUGACCGUCUCUGUUCUUCCCAUACGCGAAUGGCAGGCAUCCAGAUCUCCAAGAAUAGAGGAUUAGGAGAGACUCCACCACCUAUGUCCUCACAGUUAAUUAUCGAUUUGUGUCACUUGCCCAUUUUCUCACUUCCUGUUUGUGUGUCAAGGAGUAUUAAUAAAUCUUUGCCUAUUUAAA